UUUCGCAAUGCCCGAAAGGGUGACGAAGCGAUGCCGCGUGUGGGAAGAAGGCCUUCGGGUUGUAAACCACUGUCGGGAGUUAAGAAAUGUAAGGGUGCUAAUAGUAUCCUUACUUGACUAAGGCUCCGGAGGAAGCCACGGCUAACUCUGUGCCAGCAGCCGCGGUAAUACAGAGGCGGCAAGCGUUGUUCGGAAUCACUGGGCGUAAAGAGCACGUAGGCGGCCUUGUAAGUCAGUUGUGAAAGCCUUCUGCUUAACGGAAGAACAGCAUCUGAUACUGCAAGGCUAGAGUGCGGAAGGGGAGAGUGGAACUUCUGGUGGAGCGGUGAAAUGCGUAGAUAUCAGAAGGAACACCGGCGGCGAAGGCGACUCUCUGGUCCGUAACUGACGCUGAGUGUGCGAAAGCUAGGGGAGCAAACGGGAUUAGAUACCCCGGUAGUCCUAGCCGUAAACGAUGGGCACUAAGUAGAGGGGUUUUA
rnacentral:rRNA from 1 species